rnacentral:rRNA from 1 species
CCUACGGGUGGCAGCAGUGGGGAAUAUUGGACAAUGGGGGCAACCCUGAUCCAGCCAUGCCGCGUGUGUGAAGAAGGCCCUCGGGUUGUAAAGCACUUUCAGUGAGGAAGAACGCCUGGUGGUUAAUACCCAUCAGGAAAGACAUCACUCACAGAAGAAGCACCGGCUAACUCCGUGCCAGCAGCCGCGGUAAUACGGAGGGUGCGAGCGUUAAUCGGAAUUACUGGGCGUAAAGCGCGCGUAGGUGGCUUGAUAAGCCGGUUGUGAAAGCCCCGGGCUCAACCUGGGAACGGCAUCCGGAACUGUCAAGCUAGAGUGCAGGAGAGGAAGGUAGAAUUCCCGGUGUAGCGGUGAAAUGCGUAGAGAUCGGGAGGAAUGCCAGUGGCGAAGGCGGCCUUCUGGACUGACACUGACACUGAGGUGCGAAAGCGUGGGUAGCAAACAGGAUUAGAUACCCUAGUAGUC